rnacentral:rRNA from 1 species
GGUGAACUGGUUCCUGGCAAAGUGAUUCGCCUUGAAGCCAAUGAUGAUCGUAUUGUGGCAGUGCAGUAAGUCACAAAUUUGAAUAAAACGGGCCCUGACGGGCUCGUUUUUGUUUAAAAACCAGGCGAAAAUAGGCUUUUGGUUCAAAUGUUGUUUGAAAAGUGAACGGUUGAGCUUUUUUUUGCAUUUAGGUCUUGUCAGGCUCUAAUAACUCCCUAUAAUGCGCCACCACUGACACGGAACAACGGCAUACAGGCCGCCGGGUCAGAAAGGCUUCAUUAAGAAGUCUGUGAGGAAAGCGAAAAUAAAGGCUUGACUCAAAAAGAGGAAAGCGUAAUAUACGCCACCUCGCGACGGUGAGCUGAAAGCCGCGUCGCACCUGCUCUUUAACAAUUUAUCAGACAAUCUGUGUGGGCACUCGAAGAUACGGAUUCUUAACGUCCUCGGACGAAAAAUGAAUACCAAGUCUCAAGAGUGAACACGUAAUUCAUUACGAAGUUUAAUUCUUUGAGCAUCAAACUUUCUUUGUGAUUCAUGACUGGGGUGAAGUCGUAACAAGGUAACCGUAGGGGAACCUGCGGUUGGAUCACCUCCUUACCUUAAAGAACUGUUCUUUGCAGUGCUCACACAGAUUGUCUGAUGAAAAGUGAAUAGCAAGGCGUCUUGCGAUUGAGACUUCAGUGUCCCCUUCGUCUAGAGGCCCAGGACACCGCCCUUUCACGGCGGUAACAGGGGUUCGAAUCCCCUAGGGGACGCCACUUGCUGGUUUGUGAGUGAAAGUCACCUGCCUUAAUAUCUCAAAACUGACUUACGAGUCACGUUUGAGAUAUUUGCUCUUUAAAAAUCUGGAUCAAGCUGAAAAUUGAAACACAGAACAACGAAAGUUGUUCGUGAGUCUCUCAAAUUNGUAAUAGCUCACUGGUCGAGUCGGCCUGCGCGGAAGAUGUAACGGGGCUAAACCAUGCACCGAAGCUGCGGCAGCGACGCUUAUGCGUUGUUGGGUAGGGGAGCGUUCUGUAAGCCUGUGAAGGUGGCCUGUGAGGGUUGCUGGAGGUAUCAGAAGUGCGAAUGCUGUUGGGUAGGGGAGCGUUCUGUAAGCCUGUGAAGGUGGCCUGUGAGGGUUGCUGGAGGUAUCAGAAGUGCGAAUGCUGACAUAAGUAACGAUAAAGCGGGUGAAAAGCCCGCUCGCCGGAAGACCAAGGGUUCCUGUCCAACGUUAAUCGGGGCAGGGUGAGUCGACCCCUAAGGCGAGGCCGAAAGGCGUAGUCGAUGGGAAACGGGUUAAUAUUCCCGUACUUGGUGUUACUGCGAAGGGGGGACGGAGAAGGCUAUGUUGGCCGGGCGACGGUUGUCCCGGUUUAAGCGUGUAGGUGUGUGUUCCAGGUAAAUCCGGUUCACUUUAACACUGAGGCGUGACGACGAGGCACUACGGUGCUGAAGCAACAAAUGCCCUGCUUCCAGGAAAAGCCUCUAAGCAUCAGGUAACAUCAAAUCGUACCCCAAACCGACACAGGUGGUCAGGUAGAGAAUACCAAGGCGCUUGAGAGAACUCGGGUGAAGGAACUAGGCAAAAUGGUGCCGUAACUUCGGGAGAAGGCACGCUGACAUGUAGGUGAAGUGAUUUACUCAUGGAGCUGAAGUCAGUCGAAGAUACCAGCUGGCUGCAACUGUUUAUUAAAAACACAGCACUGUGCAAACACGAAAGUGGACGUAUACGGUGUGACGCCUGCCCGGUGCCGGAAGGUUAAUUGAUGGGGUCAGCGCAAGCGAAGCUCCUGAUCGAAGCCCCGGUAAACGGCGGCCGUAACUAUAACGGUCCUAAGGUAGCGAAAUUCCUUGUCGGGUAAGUUCCGACCUGCACGAAUGGCGUAAUGAUGGCCAGGCUGUCUCCACCCGAGACUCAGUGAAAUUGAACUCGCUGUGAAGAUGCAGUGUACCCGCGGCAAGACGGAAAGACCCCGUGAACCUUUACUAUAGCUUGACACUGAACAUUGAGCCUUGAUGUGUAGGAUAGGUGGGAGGCUUUGAAGUGUGGACGCCAGUCUGCAUGGAGCCGACCUUGAAAUACCACCCUUUAAUGUUUGAUGUUCUAACGUGGACCCGUAAUCCGGGUUGCGGACAGUGUCUGGUGGGUAGUUUGACUGGGGCGGUCUCCUCCUAAAGAGUAACGGAGGAGCACGAAGGUUGGCUAAUCCUGGUCGGACAUCAGGAGGUUAGUGCAAUGGCAUAAGCCAGCUUGACUGCGAGCGUGACGGCGCGAGCAGGUGCGAAAGCAGGUCAUAGUGAUCCGGUGGUUCUGAAUGGAAGGGCCAUCGCUCAACGGAUAAAAGGUACUCCGGGGAUAACAGGCUGAUACCGCCCAAGAGUUCAUAUCGACGGCGGUGUUUGGCACCUCGAUGUCGGCUCAUCACAUCCUGGGGCUGAAGUAGGUCCCAAGGGUAUGGCUGUUCGCCAUUUAAAGUGGUACGCGAGCUGGGUUUAGAACGUCGUGAGACAGUUCGGUCCCUAUCUGCCGUGGGCGCUGGAGAACUGAGGGGGGCUGCUCCUAGUACGAGAGGACCGGAGUGGACGCAUCACUGGUGUUCGGGUUGUCAUGCCAAUGGCACUGCCCGGUAGCUAAAUGCGGAAGAGAUAAGUGCUGAAAGCAUCUAAGCACGAAACUUGCCCCGAGAUGAGUUCUCCCUGAGACUUAGAGUCUCCUGAAGGAACGUUGAAGACGACGACGUUGAUAGGCCGGGUGUGUAAGCGCAGCGAUGCGUUGAGCUAACCGGUACUAAUGAACCGUGAGGCUUAACCUU